GACCUCUCUCCCUCUUCUCAAUCUUCCUCCCUUCCCUCCACGCACACCCAUCCCAGCCCGGAAACAAUCACCCUUUGACAAGCGAAGCUGCUGAGCUGAGAGCCAAGAACGGCUCGGGUGGGGGUAGGGGGUGGCAGCGGGCAUCCCGGCCGGGUUUAACUCUAGAGGAGCGAGAGCGAGAUGCCCAAGUCCCCUUCCCCAGGCCUGCGGCCCCCUCCCCACACAUCCGUCCUUGAUCCGCGCCGUGGGAGUCCCGAGAGGCUGGGGUGAUGGAGAGGGUGCUGGGGGAGGAGGGAGUAGAUACCAAGCCCACGAGGGGACCUUUCCUCGCUGCUCCUCCCUCCCUCUCUCCUCCGCCCGUUGCAGGGAGGGCCCCCCGCCUCAGCUGGCGAGGUUGGUACAGACCAUUAGCAGUGCAGGUCCCGCUGGCAGCUCCCUCUCGGAGGUGGGGAGGAGGAAGAGGGGGAUGGAUGGGGCGGGGGAGGGGGGAGAGGAGGCAGGGUGAAGAGGAGCUGUCAGUGCUGCUGGAAGCACGGGCGCAUCCGCCGCCACUGAUGUGAUUCUCCGCUCCGACCCCGGGCUCUAGCACCCCUAGUCGUCCUCCUUCUCUUCCUCCUCCUCCUCCUCUCCUUCCUCCUCCCCCUCCCUCUUUCCUCCCCCUCCCCUCCCUCCGGCCCCCUUCCCUUCCUGGUCCCUGCUCCUUCUCGCCCUCCGGCUCCGGCUCUGUAUCUCGAGCCCAGCCUCCUCCAGACUCUGGCCGCCUCUGUCGCCUCCGAGCUACGCGGAGGUGCCGGGUCGGAGCGCAAGAGCCCCGAGGCGAGGCGAGCAGAACCAAAGCCGGGGGUGGCGGGGCCGGGGUCCGCGGGCUGCCGAGCUGCCAGAGAGGAACGCGGCAGCGGGGAAGGCGGCGGCGGCGGCGGCGGCGGCUAUGAAGUGGCCCCCGGUGGCCCGGAGCCCGAGCGUACCCAGGCAGGGAAGCGAGGGAGCCCGGCGCCCGGGCCCCGGGCAGCACCAGCGGGGCGCCGCGUCUGGGGAUUAAGGGCUGGAGAGAACUGCGCGAUGGAGCUGGACCGAGCCGGGGAGGAUUCAGACUCGCGAAGCCAGGCUUACCAUUUGUUUCUACAUGGAGCCUUUGGGACUAGCCACAGCUACUGAAUCCUCAGCAAGCCAAUCCUGAGCCCACAAGAUGGGGAGAGACAUCUUGAACUAGAGACGCUGCUGAGGGAAAGACCACCCACCUCCCCCUGCCUGCCACCAGCGAGGCCGGGUCACAAGUCACGCCCAGACCUCUCUCCCUUCCCAUCUCUGCCUCCGUCCUCACUCCCCUGACUUCUUUCAAGUCCCAGCCAAAAUCCCACCUUCGGUAAGACACCUUUCCCAGUCCUCCUUAGUGCCAGCGCCUUCUCUCUGUUGAUUAUCCUCAGUUUAUCUCGUCUAUCUCGUGUCUGUACACAGCGGUUCCCGUGUUGUGUCUCCCAUUAGAUUGUAAGCUCUUUGACGGCAGGGACUUUUUACCUUUCUUUGCACACCCAAUGCUUAGUGAGUGCCUGGCUCGUUAAUAAAUGCUUGCUAACUGACUGACA
rnacentral:lncRNA from 1 species